rnacentral:lncRNA from 1 species
GUCAGUUAAGAAAGAAUAUGAUUAUGAUGAGAAUAAUUCGGAAAUACAGCAAAAAGCAGGUCAUUAUAUAGAUAAAUGUAGUUAUAACGAUGGUACUACUAGUAGUAGCAACUGUAGUAGUAGUAGUAGUAACAGUAAUGGUUAUUACAGUACAAACCACAAUAAUGAUAACGACAGUAACAAGCUGUGGCAUAUAAGACGAAUAAAAAAUUAUAAAAAAUGCUUGUUUAAAAAUAUAAGGUAUUUCAAGUUUCCAUAUAAAUCCAAAGUAACCAAUGAUGAAUUAAAAGAUGUGUUAAAAUAUAUAGAUAUAAAAUAUAUUGAUAAUAAUACAAAUUUAAAUAAGUUGUUAUAUAAACUAAAUGAAUAUAAGAAAUAUAAUAUAAUAAUUAUAAACUUAGCUUUUUUUUUUAUUAAAGAUGAAAACUUGAUUAAUGCAUGUGUAAAACAAUCUAUACAUUGUAUGCAAGUCUCAAGUUUGAGAAAUGAAAAUAAUAAUAAUAAUAUAACGAAUAAUAAUAAUAUAACGAAUAAUAAUAAUAACAUAACGGCGCAUUCACAAAUGGACAAAGUAUUAUGUAAUGUUUUUAUUAAUAACAUAUUGUAUAUACAUUUUUAUUAUUCUUUUUUUGUUAGUUUUUUUAAACACCUAAAUAAUGUAAGUGUUUUUCCACACUUUGAAAAUGUUUUAGUCAAGGAUAGCAAGAAGGAUAAAGGUGUGGAAGUACGUAUUAGUAGUAAUAAUAAUGAUAAUAAGAAGUGUCAUACUAAUCAUAAUGUGAACUAUAAUCGAACUGGUAGUGAUGUGAACAAAAAUCCAAUUAAUAAAAAUAUAAACAGUAGUAAAAAUAAUAAUGUGGGUAGUGUUUUUAAACAAGAACAACUAAAUAGUAAACCUAAUUUGGACACAACAGGAAAGAGACAAAGAGAUACAGGAAUCAUAGCAGUAAAUAAAAAAAUAUUAUAUAAUUAUGAUAUUGUUGAAAAUGAAAAUAUAUUAAAAAGGGAACAAGAAUCAGCUUGCUAUAUUAGUGAUCAGAAACAGGACAAAAAUUGUAACAUACAUAUUGCAAGUUGUAAUAAGAACAUUCAAAAUAAUGAUGAGCGCAAUAAAAAUAAUGAUAUAUCUAUUACAAAAAAUAAUAUGCAAAGUUUAAACGAGUAUGUGUUACCAAAACAUAAAACCAAUGUGGCAUAUAAAUCGUAUCACUACAAUAGUGGCAACAACAAUAACCACGAUAACGAUAACGAUGGCAAUACAAGUAAUGAGAAAAUUUUGGCAAUGAAUAGAAAUUUUAAUGUUUUUCAAAAGAGUAUAUAUAACACUAAUGAAAUAAGUGUUGAUUAUGAAACUUCAAAAUGUUACUUAAAUAAGUGUUGUAAAAAAAAUAAACCAAAAAAAAAAAAAAAAAAAAAAACAUUAAAAAAUAAAAUAUAUAUUUUUGACAU